AUGGCGGCGGCCGCGGCCCUCCCGGGCGCGGGCGGGCCUCCCGCGGGCGGCGGGGCCGGGGGCGCGGGCGGCGGGUCCCCGCCGGGCGGCUGGGCCGUGGCGCGCCUCGAGGGCCGCGAGUUCGAGUACCUGAUGAAGAAGCGCUCGGUGACCAUCGGGCGCAACUCGUCGCAGGGUUCGGUGGACGUGAGCAUGGGCCACUCGAGCUUCAUCUCGCGGCGCCACCUCGAGAUCUUCACGCCCCCGGGCGGCGGCGGCCAUGGCGGGGCGGCCCCGGAGCCGUCGGCGCAGCCCGGGCCCGACGCGGGCGGCGACUUCUACCUGCGCUGCCUCGGCAAGAACGGCGUGUUCGUGGACGGCGUGUUCCAGAGGCGCGGGGCGCCGCCGCUGCAGCUGCCGCGCGUGUGCACGUUCCGGUUCCCGAGCACAAACAUCAAGAUAACGUUCACCGCUCUGUCCAGCGAGAAGAGGGAGAAGCAGGAGGCGCCCGAGUCGCCGGUGAAGCCGGUGCAGGCUCACAUCUCGCCCCUGACCAUCAACAUUCCAGACACCAUGGCCCACCUCAUCAGCCCCCUCCCCUCCCCCACGGGAACCAUCAGUGCUGCAAACUCCUGCCCAUCCAGCCCCCGGGGAGCAGGGUCUUCAGGAUACAAAAUGGGCCGUGUGAUACCAUCUGACCUCAACUUAAUGGCCGACAGCUCACAGCCAGAAAACGAGAAGGAAGCUUCAGGUGGAGACAGCCCAAAGGAUGACUCAAAACCACCUUACUCCUAUGCACAAUUAAUCGUACAAGCAAUCACGAUGGCGCCUGACAGACAGCUCACCCUGAAUGGGAUUUACACACACAUCACUAAAAACUACCCCUACUACCGGACGGCGGACAAGGGCUGGCAGAAUUCAAUUCGCCACAAUCUCUCUCUGAAUCGUUAUUUCAUCAAAGUACCACGUUCCCAGGAAGAACCAGGCAAAGGCUCAUUCUGGAGGAUAGACCCCGCCUCUGAAAGCAAAUUAAUAGAGCAGGCUUUUAGGAAAAGACGGCCUAGGGGCGUGCCCUGCUUUAGAACCCCUCUGGGACCUCUCUCGUCUAGAAGUGCCCCAGCCUCUCCCAACCAUGCUGGAGUGCUGUCUGCUCACUCCAGUGGCGCCCAGACCCCCGAGAGCCUGUCGAGGGAAGGUUCGCCGGCCCCCCUGGAGCCCGAGCCAGGUGCCGCCCAGCCCAAACUCGCUGUCAUCCAGGAGGCACGGUUCGCCCAGAGCGCUCCAGGCUCGCCUCUGUCCGGUCAGCCCGUCCUAAUCACCGUGCAGCGACCACUGCCGCCCACGGUCAAGCCCGUCACCUACGCUGUCGCCGCCCCCGCGACCACCGCUCCCCCCCAGCAGCCCGUCGUGCAGACGGUGCAUGUCGUCCACCAGAUCCCGGCGGUGUCCGUCACCAGCGUGGCUGCGCUGGCCCCCGCGAGCACCCACAGCGUCGCCGGGCAGGCCAUGGUCGCUCAGGCGGCCGUGCUGGCCCCGCCCAAGGCAGAGCCGCAGGAGAACGGAGACCACAGAGAAGUGAAAGUGAAAGUGGAACCUAUUCCUGCAGUUAGCCACGCCACCCUCGGUGCCGCCGGCCGGCUCAUCCAGACGUCCCCGGCCGCCCCUGUGCAGACGGUCACUAUAGUGCAGCAGGCACCUCUCGGUCAGCACCAGCUUCCAGUAAAAACUGUCACGCAGAAUGGGACUCACGUGGUGCCAGUCCCCGCCGCCGUCCACGGGCAGGUGAACAGCGCGGCGGCGAGCCCCCUGCACAUGCUGGCGACCCACGCCUCAGCCUCGGCCUCCCUGCCCACCAAGCGCCAGAACGGCGACCCGGCGGAGCAGCCGGAGCUGAAGCGGGUCAAGACGGAGGACGGCGAAAGCAUCGUCAUCGCCCUGAGCGUGGACCCGCCGCCGGCAGCCGCGCGCGAGAAGGGCGUCCAGAACUAGCGCCGGGCGCCCUCCUCCUCGUCAACUCUGGUGCCAAAAGGAGACACUGCCUCUCACCGACGCUCGGAGCGCCUUCUCUCGGUGGGCGGAGGGCCCUGCGGUUGGACUUCACCUCAGCACUGAAAACACAAAACCCAGGUGGCCUUAAAACUCCUUAAUUUAAAGACAGAAGUCACACCUGAACAAACCACAUCGAAGCCAGGCCCUGGCGGCGUCUCCCCGCCCCGCGCUUAGCUCUCAACUCUGAGACUCGCGGUCCUUCGCGUGAGGACGCGCCCGGUGCAAGUGGACCUGCCGGGCUGGGCCGGAGCCGCCCUGCCGCCCGCAGACCAGACAGUAUUUUGUUGUCCACACGUGGAACUAGAGUACUUUGAGGUGCACUUUCUUUCUUUACAAAAUAACGGGGUCUUUGACAUUUCAGAUCACUCCACUUCUACUCUGGAAAUUCGGAAUCACACGGGACCUUUUGUGUGGAUUUCACUUGGGGAAGAGAAACAACAUAGUUCCGUUUGUUUUUAUUUGCUUCCAGCCUAUGGAAUGACUUACUUUUGUCUGUCCCGUAAAGUCCGAGGGAGCUACUUGAUGACGUCUGCAGAUCUUCCCGGUCAGAGCAGUUGCGUGAUGAAUUUAAUGCACCUCCAUUUCCGUGUGUGGGACGGACAGACGCAGACGCCCGCUGGCCACGUGUGACCCAAUGGCUGCACUUACCCGUCUCUUUCUUGCUCCUUUUUGUUGUUUCUUUCUUUGUGUUGACGUGUCCCUGGCAUAAUUUUCCACUCUAAGUAAAACAAGUCUCCUGCGCAUUGUGUAUGUUUAAAACUGCAGAACUAUUCCUCCUUCAUCGGAAACAAGAUUCGAUCUUUUAUCACACAUCCUUUUCAAACCUGUCACAGAUCUCUCUGAGGCACGCUGGCCGUGGCAGCUGCCGUCACCAGCUCUGCACGGCGUCCAGCUGUGCGUUAACACAAGGGUCUCGGAGGCUGGUGCCCUUCGGGAAAGCGUGCGAAACAUCUGGUCCCUCUCUGAUGUGUAAUAGGAAACCCCACCAACCUUCCAGAACUGAGUCCAGUACCAAGGCUGCCGUCUCCUCUACGGAAAACAAGAGCAAGAGGAAGGGAAACCAAGGACAAGACGGCCUCGAAUGUAAGGGGCUCGGGGAGCGCCUGCUCGUGGGAACAGUGGUCUUCGGGUCGCAUCCAGAGGGCGCCGAGAGGACAAGCCGCUGUCAGCACACAGGCGGCCAGCUGGACCGGGUGGACAGCAGCCUGCCCCUCGAGCAGGUGUCGGAACCCCUAGGAGUCAUUGUGACUUUCUGGAGUCACGUGUCUGCUUGAAGGUCACUGAGACAUGGUCUUCCGUAGUGUCUGGCCAGACCGCGACAGUCACCGCCCGUGCCUGCCCCAGAGGGGCUCUGGAGUAACCCACGCCAUCAGCUCACACCCCCGGAAGACCAACUCAGCAUCGUAAAGACCUCACUCGAGCUCUGGCUGGAGGCCGGGGCGUUGGGGGGAACCGGCCUCUCCAGGUGGGCUUUGCUCUCGGACGCGGCCGCUGAAAGCGCAUGUCACUGGGUGUUUCCUCAGUCCCUCAGGUCUUUUGCUUUUGCUAAAAUCCAUUUGUGUUUAUAAUUUGGUGGCAGCUGCAUAAACCUAAUCAUUUUAAAAUUAAUGCCCAAACUACAAAAUUACUAACCUGAAAUGCAUGAUGCCACAGUGUGGCAGGAACAUUACGAGACAAUCAGCGAUGAGUCUCUACACACACAUCCACGAACACUGGUGAGCUGAAUUCAGCAGUAACUGCACAGCCGCUGAGGGACCGGCGAAGGCUAACACACCGUGAUCAAGUCGGGGCUCAUCUCAGACUGCAGGGCUGGCUGAACAUUCAGAAGUCACAGCGGAGGCACGUGACCCCACCCAGCGGCGGGAAGCGGAGCGUGAGCACCUCGCCUGCCCCUUCAUCUCGGCCCCGCCCACUCACACCUGGGCAGGGUGGGUUCAGCGUGGUUAAACACUUAGCAAAGCAAAAAUCUGUUUUCUUCAGAGAAACACAACAGAAUCCGUAGUAUCUACAGCGUACCAUUUGCAACGUCCAGGCAGCAACCCCGAAGGACUAGACACGUUGCCAUGACUCUUACACAGAACAGAGCAAACUCCAGGGGCCCUGCUCCCAGAAGGCCCAGACGGGAGGGUUACCAGAGACUUCACCUCGCGCGCUGCAAACAUGCAGGGGCGGAGAGGGACUCUCCUGUCAACGAGCAGUUAGGAGUUGUCAGUUUUAGAACUUUCGGAUUCACCCCCAAUUUCAAUUACAUGGUUUAGGCUUUACCACAGAGUGGGCAGUAACAGGAGAGUCGAUGGUAGGGAAAAAUUCUCCUCAUCUUAACAACAGGAGAAAACACUACAAAAUACCUGACCAGCUCAGCGACCAGUCAGUGGGUCAGUGGAAGGUGCUACACGUGCCCGAAACCCAGCAGGGAAGAGACAAGAGCAGAAAAACUAUUUGAGGAAAUAAUGGCUGAGAUGUUCACAAAUUUGGUGAAACCCAUGAAUCUAGAUUCAAGAAGGUCCUUAAGCCCCAUAUGUGAUGAACACAAAGCCAAACACAGACACAGCGUCGUUUCCAAACCGUGAUUUCAUCCAUCAGCUCUCAUUGUUCUGGGACAGAACCAGAACAUAAGAGACGUGCCACACCUGCCCAGGCAGACCAAAGGGCUCCACGUCAUUUAAAAACUAGCAGAUGCCAAGGAUCACGCUUCCUGUGCCACUGGGCGCGUUCCCACACGGCCGCUGAUUAAAUCCUGAAGCACCCGGUCUCUCAGCACUGAGAAUCAAUCGUCUUUGCAUUUUGGGGAUUCCAAUAAAAUUUUGCUUAUUUUUAGCUAUUCUAACAUUUACUUUAAAGCUCACCUGGAAAACAAGUGCUUCAGAUCAGCAGAGCCGUGAAGGCAGAGCACAGCUGUUCCUGGAGCAGUGCUGUCCGUCAGCAGCUAACAGGUGACCUGGCUGAUGAGCGCUCCUGCCCACAGUGGCAUGCAAAGCACAACAGGGCAACUGCGUGAUUUUCAUCCAAACCAGAAGAGGGCUAAGCCGGACGGGAUGGCAGGACCGUGGCGUGAACCUGGACAGGAAGCGGGUGCCUGACCGCCCAGUGCGGGAGGACACUGGGCCACUACCUCGUUACACGCCUGGAGGUCACGCCACAUGAACUGUGAAAACAAGACCCGUAAACAGUGCCCCGUGAAAAUGCCACUUGGCUUUAAUCACGAGCUGACCAGAAACCAUAAAGAACGAGGCUGACAGAUCAGACCACCUGAAAACUCAAGGUACAAACACAGCGAAGUAAAAACCCUCAGACUGAAAGAGUGAAAAAAGUGACAAGGGGUGGUUAUGUAAGAGAUUCUCAUGAGCAAAAAAGGCAAAAUAUACCAACAGAAAAACAGGCAGACUUGAAUAAGCAAUUAACAGAAUAAUACAGUUGGCCAGCAAACGUAUUCUGAAACGUCCAGCGUGACAGAAAUCGGUGAUCUCUUUCUCCGUCAGAUUAGGAGGACUCUGCACAGAGCUGGUCCCGGUGAGGGUGAGGGUGUGGGUGAGGGUGUCGACACCGACAGGAUCCCCAGCAGGGGAGGCGGCGAACGUUCCGGUUUCCAGGCGCAGACCCUUGGCCUGGCAGCUGCGUUUCUGCUACUGGAGAAACUGGCGGGCAAGCAUGAGGAUUCCCAUUUCCAAAAUGUUUAAAACAGCAGAACACACACACAGGCAUCUCUGGGCAAUUCAGGUAUGUCCUGAUGCGCUCGUGAGUUGCGUAGGGUGAAAGGACAGUCCCGAGGACGCUGCUGGCCCCACAAGGCGUGGCACCACGGUCUUCUGCUUCCGCCUGUGUGGCCUCUUCCGUUUCACAACGAACAUUUGUAUUUCGAUCAUACGUAUUUUCUGAUCCAUUUCAAAGAGCAGAAUUUAGCACAGGUCCCCGGAGCACUGUCAUCGGUCAGACGCCCCUCACAGAAAGAAGGCAGCCAGGGAUCAAGCUGCAUGCGGUCACCUCUGUGACUCACCUGAAAGCUGGGCUUGGUUUGGUUGCAGAAGGAAACACAAGCGUGAAAAGCUCUGGCUGCACAAGCUUCAGCGGGUGGAGGGAGAGGCCUCAGCCCCAGGCCGUGGGGAGGCUGCUGGGUGCCGAGACAUCAGAGGCCCGUGGGUGGCAGGGCCCAUGGCUGGAGAGUAGGGUCACGGGAGGCAGUUCCUGGAUGUUCACACUGACACCUAGGGCAGCAACACACCAGCCUGUCCAGUGCAGCCCACAAGUGGGGCUCAGGGACGCCCUGGAUGGCAGACUCAGGCCUGGCAAGACUCAGCCCCUUCCCUUCGUCAGGCUGCAAACAAAACCAAGUCUCCCGCUGCCCUGAAUGAACCACAGAACGGUCACCUGACAGCCCCUUGCAGGCACUGCUCUGCCGACACCCCCCGAGGUGGGAAAGCGAGGGCUGGUAGGGGUGGGGCCUGGUGGGGGGCUGGCUGCCCCUCUGGGCAUCUCCCAGGCAAGACAGGUGUGCCCACUGUCUCCAGAGAAACCCUGCACGUCGCAGCCCAGCCCCCGGGGGGCUCACUCUCAGCAUCCAGGGUGUCCCGCUGUCACUUCACAAAGGAGGCGACACUGCUCCCAUGUGGUGGACACUUCUCGGGGGCAGGGAGCCUGGGGCCGGGGCCCGGCUCUCCCAGGCCAGCAGCCUAGCUCCCUGCCCAGCCUCGCGUCCCCCGAGCUGAGCAUCUCCACGCACCGACGCUCACGCUUCCUUUACUAAGCUUCCCCUCGUUUCCCGUGUCUGGACGCACUGAAGGGACUGUGUUUGUUUGGGGAAAAGAGAAACCAGAGAUGAUGUAAAUGUGAAGGACCCCUCCUCCUCCUGGGCCCAGAACUGGGCCAGUGUUAGGUGGACACUGGUGGGCAGCCCGACACCACCGGUGUCCCCACAAAGGGACGGCUCUUCCCCAUCAGGCACAACAGGAACUGGUAAUGAACAUCCCUCUCCCCUCUGCUCCCCCAGCCAGGCUGUCACCCCAGGGGCGAAGUGUCCACCUGACCCCCAUGCAGCCCUGGACAGUCCAGCCUGAAGGCGCAAUGGGCCUGCAGCCUCCAGUCCAACGAGAGGCUAAAACUAGCGGGUUGGUUUUGUAACAUACAAUUCUUCUUCCUUGAUGGGUACGGAGUACAACAAAAUUAGUCACUUUUAUUUAAAAGAAACAUUACAAAUAAGUGUGCAAAAUUAAAUUUCAUGAUUAAAUACACGUAAAAGUAACAUGCAUACUUUACAUUGAAACCCACAAAGUUAGCUGAUCACAUGACAGUAAGGAACUGGCAAAACCGAGAACUUGCUGCUGCAGAUUUUAAACGUUUGCAACCUGAAAUCAAAACACAAAAUUAAGUUUGAAAGGAAUUUAAGAAAAUUAAAUAUGUACCUCAGGUAGCACUAACAACAUAGAGCCCGUUACCUACUCUAGUCACCAAUCGUUAAAGAAAAGUGUGUGCCCUUCACUCCCGGGAGGUUAGUGUGCGGACGUCGGGAGGGGGAGUGGGAGCGGCUGGCGGACGCGACAGAAAGCGGGCGCCGGUCAUGGAGACACCCAGCGCUUCCCUUCGCAGCCUCUACCCUAAGUGGCGCCUGCUUCCAGGCCCCACUGGUGAAGCCUGCGCGUGGCUCUGCUCCUGGGGGGGGCACGUGCUCCCGGGAGGUGCGGGCCUGGGUUCUCUGCCUUUCUCCACACUCAGGCGGGAAGAGGCCGUCCUCUCCCCCUUCUGAGGCGGCUGGGAUUGUCAUCCACUGAAGUCCGCGAGAAAGCGCAAGCUAACCUACGCGUGUUUUCACUUCCCCACGACAGACUCAGUCGAAGGAUGCAAUCUGGCGCCACAGACAACCUGCGCUCCGUCCCUCUCUUUCUCAGCGCCCUGAAGUGUGUGCGAAGCCCCAGCUGCAGCGGGGGAAGCGGUGGAGCCGCAGAAGCGAGUGUCACGGCUGAACUAAAGGUAAAGCCAGCGUUGGGCGUGAGCGUCCAACGGUGCCCUAAGAAGGUUCUUUGACCCUGGAGAUGGAAGCCUGGCUCAGGAAACAGACGACCACGGGAGGCUUCGAGACCAAGGUCGCAGGCCGUCUUCCAGCCCGGCACCGGCCCGGGAGCUUGGUGCCCAGGGAGCGUCACAGCUUGUCAUCCGUCAUCUCCAGGAACUGCGCGUACACGUCCCGGAUGCACUCCCCCUUGGGGUUGAAGAGGAAUUUGUAGUAGCUGCCGUCCGCACAGAUGGCUGGGACAGAAGGAUACCGUUUUACUCAAGGUUAAAAGCCUGCAGCCCGCCUGAGCUGAACGGCACCGGCUCCACGUAGGCUGAGCAGCUCCGGGUGCCCUGUGGGUGGCCGGGCUCCCCAUCCUUACCGCCACACAGAACCAAGCACCCCGUCCUGGGGGUGCUGUGCUCACUAAGGCAGAGUGGCAGGGGGGAACCCUCUCUGGUCAUCAGUUCAAAAACCAAAUGAUCUGCCCCAACGCCUGCCUGGGACACCUGAGGACAGGAGCGUGCAGACCCUGAGAGGGACUCGUGGGCCCUGGGGAGAGGGAGAGCGGCUGGUGGAGCUGGGGCCGCACUGACUACAUCGGGGCCACUCCCCUCCAGAAGGACCACUUACCAAUGACAGCAUUUGGCUCUGUUCCAAAGGCACAGAUGCAGGGAGAGCCUGAGGGAACCUGAAACUUGGAAAAACUCCACUUGGAACUGAAGUAUUUUGGAAGGAAACUGGCUGACGCCAAACUAGGAAAACAAGAAGAAAAGAAUGAAUUACAUUCACAAAACAAAGUUAAAGACACAGCCCUCUUUAAUGUAACAUUAGCAUUCAUGAUUUAAAUUCCACUUUCCCUUUUAAUUUUAAUUUUUCUCAUGAAGGAAGCUAAGCCAUCAUGACUGGCUUUACAAUAAACUAGACACCAAGGGCAGCGGGAGGGCACAGGCUCUCCUGCCACCAACGUAACUCCCUGGACAGCAAGCACGGGGGCAGUGGUGGGAGUUCAGGACCAAGGCCCAUCCUGGGGGCAGGCGCCUCGACCCUUUUCAGACAUUUUCCAAGGAGCUGACGGCAGGGGACGUAAUGACGCCACUGUUCCAGCACCAAGGACUGGUUUUCGGAAAAUCAGAGGAAUGACCAUGAAAGAGGUCCCCACAGUGCCUCGUGUGGAAUCUGCCGGCACUCCGGCAACGCUCAGCCCUCCUUGUUUGGGAAACCCACCUAGACUGCUUAUUCCUUUUGGGGUCUUCGGCUGCAAAAAUGUGCACCGUGCCGUGGUCACUGGACACGCAGAUGAGGGAAGCGUCCUGAUUGAAGUUAAUGC